rnacentral:rRNA from 1 species
AUUGAACGCUGGCGGCAUGCCUUACACAUGCAAGUUGAACGGCAGCAUGGAGAGCUUGCUCUCUGAUGGCGAGUGGCGAACGGGUGAGUAAUACAUCGGAACGUGCCCAGUCGUGGGGGAUAACGUAGCGAAAGCUACGCUAAUACCGCAUACGAUCUACGGAUGAAAGCGGGGGAUCGCAAGACCUCGCGCGAUUGGAGCGGCCGAUGGCAGAUUAGGUAGUUGGUGGGGUAAAGGCUCACCAAGCCGACGAUCUGUGGCUGGUCUGAGAGGACGACCAGCCACACUGGGACUGAGACACGGCCCAGACUCCUACGGGAGGCAGCAGUGGGGAAUUUUGGACAAUGGGCGCAAGCCUGAUCCAGCCAUUCCGCGUGCAGGAUGAAGGCCCUCGGGUUGUAAACUGCUUUUGUACGGAACGAAAAGGCUCUGGUUAAUACCCGGGGCUCAUGACGGUACCGUAAGAAUAAGCACCGGCUAACUACGUGCCAGCAGCGCCGUAA